rnacentral:misc_RNA from 1 species
UUAAGUUCAGCGGGUAUUCCUACCUGAUCCGAGGUCAACCUUCCAUUUGAAAUUGGGGGGUUUCACGGCAGAGCCGGGCCGCUGCUCCAGUGCGAUGUUUCUUGGUAAGCUACUACGCAGGGGAGGCUGCGGCGGGGUCGCCACUGGAUUUGGGGAGCGGCCGCCAUCCACGAUGGGGCGGGGCCGUCUCCCAACACCGU